rnacentral:rRNA from 1 species
AAUCAACGCUGGCGGCGUGCCUAACACAUGCAAGUCGCGCGCGAAUAGGGGGGCAACCCCUUAGUAGAGCGGCGAACGGGUGAGUAACACGUGGGUAAUCUACCUUCGAGUGGGGAACAACAUCGGGAAACUGGUGCUAAUUCCGCAUGACAUCGUCGGGGCUUCGGUCCUGACGAUCAAAGCCGGGGAUCGCAAGACCUGGCGCUUGAAGAUGAGCCCGCGUCCGAUUAGCAGUUGGCGGGGUAAUGGCCCACCAAGGCUUCGAUCGGUAGCCGGCCUGAGAGGGCGGACGGCCACACUGGAACUGAGACACGGUCCAGACUCCUACGGGAGGCAGCAGUGGGGGAAUUUUUCGCAAUGGGGGGCAACCCCUGACGAAGCAACGCCGCGUGGGGAUGAAGGUCUUCGGAUUGUAAACCCCUGUCGACUGGGACGAAUGUAGAACGGCCAAAUACGCCGAGCUAUUGACUGUACCGGUGGAGGAAGCCACGGCUAACUCUGUGCCAGCCGCCGCAGUAAC